AACGAACGCUGGCGGCAGGCUUAACACAUGCAAGUCGAACGCGUGCAGCAAUGCACGAGUGGCGCACGGGUGAGUAACGCGUGGAUAUCUGCCUUUUGGUUCGGAAUAACCCCGGGAAACUGGGGCUAAUACCGGAUGGUUCCUACGGGAUAAAGAUUUAUCGCCAAAAGAUGAGUCCGCGUCCGAUUAGCUAGUUGGUGAGGUAAUGGCUCACCAAGGCGACGAUCGGUAGCUGGUCUGAGAGGACGAUCAGCCACACUGGGACUGAGACACGGCCCAGACUCCUACGGGAGGCAGCAGUGGGGAAUAUUGGACAAUGGGGGCAAGCCUGAUCCAGCCAUGCCGCGUGAGUGAUGAAGGCCUUCGGGUUGUAAAGCUCUUUUGGCGGGGACGAUGAUGACGGUACCCGCAGAAUAAGCCCCGGCUAACUUCGUG
rnacentral:rRNA from 1 species